AUUGAACGCUGGCGGCAGGCCUAACACAUGCAAGUCGAACGGUAGCACAGAGAGCUUGCUCUCGGGUGACGAGUGGCGGACGGGUGAGUAACGUCUGGGAAACUGCCCGAUGGAGGGGGAUAACUACUGGAAACGGUAGCUAAUACCGCAUAACGUCGCAAGACCAAAGUGGGGGACCUUCGGGCCUCACACCAUCGGAUGUGCCCAGAUGGGAUUAGCUAGUAGGUGGGGUAAUGGCUCACCUAGGCGACGAUCCCUAGCUGGUCUGAGAGGAUGACAAGACAGACUGGAACUGAGACACGGUCCAGACUCCUACGGGAGGCAGCAGUGGGGAAUAUUGCACAAUGGGCGCAAGCCUGAUGCAGCCAUGCCGCGUGUAUGAAGAAGGCCUUCGGGUUGUAAAGUACUUUCAGCGGGGAGGAAGGCGGUGAAGUUAAUAGCUUCACCGAUUGACGUUACCCGCAGAAGAAGCACCGGCUAACUCCGCGCCAGCCGCCGCCGUAAUAC
rnacentral:rRNA from 1 species